UCCUUUAAGGCUGAGCCUGGCAUGGGGGUCUGGUGGGGUACUGAGUAGCGGGGGAAGAAGAGGCACCUUUGAGCCCUUCAGACUCCUGCUUGCCCCUCCUCUGCCAAUAAUACAGCACGGGGCAAGGGAGGGGCUGGGCGGGAAGAGAGGCCCCCAGGCAGGAAGAUCUGUUCAGAACUCUGGUGUGGGCUCAGCCACCCCCAUCCGAUGACCUGACUACUCUCCCAUCUCCGCUGAUCCUCACAGCCACCGUGGACAAUGCCAACAUCCUGCUACAGAAUGACAAUGCCCAUCUGGCUGCUGCUGACUUCCGCACCAAGUUUGAGACAGAGCAGGCCCUGUGCCUGAGUGUGGAGGCCGACAUCAAUGGCCCGUGCAGGGUGCUGGAUGAGCUGACCCUGGCCAGAGCCGACCCGGAGAUGCACAUUGAGAACCUCAAGGAGGAGCUGGCCUACCUGAAGAAGAACCACGAGGAGAUGAACGCCCCGCGAGGCCAGGUGGGCGGUGAGAUCAAUGUGGAGAUGGGCGCUGCCCCAGGUGUGGACCUGAGCCGCAUCCUGAACGAGAUGCGUGAGCAGUAUGAGAAGAUGGCAGAGAAGAACCGCAAGGAUGCCGAGGAUUGGUUCUUCAGCAAGACAGAGGAGCUGAACCGCGAGGUGGCUACCAACAGUGAGCUGGUCCAGAGCGGCAAGAGCGAGAUUUCGGAGCUCCGGUGCACCAUGCAGGCCUUGGAGAUCGAGCUGCAGUCCCAGCUCAGCAUGAAAGCAUCCCUGGAGGGCAACCUGGCGGAGACAGAGAACCGCUACUGCAUGCAGCUGUCCCAGAU
ensembl:lncRNA novel transcript